UACGUAGGCAGCGAGCGUUGUUCGGAAUUACUGGGCGUAAAGAGUGUGUAGGCGGUGCUCUAAGUUCGGUGUGAAAUCUCCCGGCUUACUGGGAGGUGCAUUAGAAACUGGAAUGCUAGAGGAUGGGAGAGGUAAGCGGAAUUCCUGUGUAGCGGUGAAAUGCGUAGAUAUCAGGAGGAACACCUGUGGGUGUAGACAGCUACUGGACCAUUUUCUGACGCUGAGACACGAAAGCGUGGGUAGCAAACAGGAUUGAGAUACCCCUCGUAGU
rnacentral:rRNA from 1 species